GCUGGAAUAUUGCUAAAAGCGGUGUAAAACCAAACUCAGUCAGUCAUUCUUCUUAUUUCAACCUUCUGGAUGCAGAUUUGGGGUGCCUAGAACUCAAAACCAAACAGGCCUAUGCAUAAUAUUCAAGUCAGUAUUUUCUAUUGAGCAAGUCAUGACAUCGUAAGUCGUUAACUCCUGUUUGAGUUAAAUAAACCACUGUUUAAAACAGUUAUAUACUUUUACUCAUGUUGUUUUUUAAUUAUUGGUAUUACUAGUUAUUACACCUUUUUAAGUGAUAGUGCAAUUGUCAUACAUCCAUGGAUGUCUUGUUACAUUGACUAAAUGAUUUAUGUUUCUGUUAAGACCAGGUUCAUUCCACUUGACUUGUGAUGCAUGUAUUUUCUUAAAGAAGACGACAUAAUU